UACGAAGGGAGCUAGCGUUGUUCGGAAUCACUGGGCGUAAAGCGCACGUAGGCGGAUUUGUCAGUCAGGGGUGAAAUCCCGGGGCUCAACCUCGGAACUGCCUUUGAUACAGCAAGUCUUGAGUUCGAGAGAGGUGGGUGGAAUUCCUAGUGUAGAGGUGAAAUUCGUAGAUAUUAGGAAGAACCCCGGUGGCGAAGGCGGCCCACUGGCUCGAUACUGACGCUGAGGUGCGAAAGCGUGGGAGCAAACAGG
rnacentral:rRNA from 1 species